rnacentral:rRNA from 1 species
GACAGCAGUCGCCGCGGUAAUACGAAGGGUGCAAGCGUUACUCGGAAUUACUGGGCGUAAAGCGUGCGUAGGUGGUGGUUUAAGUCCGUUGUGAAAGCCCUGGGCUCAACCUGGGAAUUGCAGUGGAUACUGGGUCACUAGAGUGUGGUAGAGGAUAGUGGAAUUUCCGGUGUAGCAGUGAAAUGCGUAGAGAUCGGAAGGAACAUCUGUGGCGAAGGCGACUAUCUGGGCCAACACUGACACUGAGGCACGAAAGCGUGGGGAGCGAACAGGAUUAGAUACCCGCGUAGUCCCUGUCUCUUAUAC